rnacentral:rRNA from 1 species
AAUAGAUACCCCCGGUAGUCCACGCCCUAAACGAUGUCUACUAGUUGUCGGGGAUUAAUUUCCUUGGUAACGCAGCUAACGCGGGAAGUAGACCGCCUGGGGAGUACGGUCGCAAGAUUAAAACUCAAAGGAAUUGACGGGGACCCGCACAAGCGGUGGAUGAUGUGGAUUAAUUCGAUGCAACGUGAAAAACCUUACCUACGCUUGACAUGUCCGGAAUCCUGCAGAGAUGUGGGAGUGCCCGAAAGGGAGCCGGAACACAGGUGCUGCAUGGCUGUCGUCAGCUCGUGUCGUGAGAUGUUGGGUUAAGUCCCGCAACGAGCGCAACCCUUAUCAUUAGUUGCUACGCAAGGGCACUCUAAUGAGACUGCCGGUGACAAACCGGAGGAAGGUGGGGAUGACGUCAAGUCCUCAUGGCCCUUAUGCGUAGGGCUUCACACGUCAUACAAUGGUCGGUACAGAGGGCUGCCAACCCGGCGAGGGGGGAGCCAAAUCCCAAAAAACCGAUCGUAGUCCGGAUUGCAGUCUGCAACUCGACUGC